rnacentral:rRNA from 1 species
GAUGAACGCUGGCGGCGUGCCUAAUACAUGCAAGUCGAGCGAACAGACGAGGAGCUUGCUCCUUUGACGUUAGCGGCGGACGGGUGAGUAACACGUGGAUAACCUACCUAUAUGUCUGGGAUAACUUCGGGAAACCGGAGCUAAUACCGGAUAAUAUAUUGAACCGCAUGGUUCAAUAGUGAAAGACGGUUUUGCUGUCACUUAUAGAUGCUUCCGCGCCGCAUUAGCUAGUUGGUAAGGUAACGGCUUACCAAGGCUACGAUGCGUAGCCGACCUGAGAGGGUGAUAGGCCACACUGGAACUGAGACACGGUCCAGACGCCUACGGGAGGCAGCAGUAGGGAAUCUUCCGCAAUGGGCGAAAGCCUGACGGAGCAACGCCGCGUGAGUGAUGAAGGUCUUCGGAUCGUAAAACUCUGUUAUUAGGGAAGAACAAAUGUGUAAGUAAAUAUGGACGUCUUGACGGUACCUAAUCAAAAAGCCACGGCUAACUACGUG